AAAAAAUUUUUUUAUUUUUUUCAAUUUUUCAUCAUAUUUUUUCAUUUUUUUUUAAAUUAAAUUACAUGAGAUUAUAUAAAUAAUGGUAUGUAAAGAAAGCCCCUUUUGUCCUGAAAACAACAAUAUAUAAUUUGUAUGGGAACAGUAAAUGAGAGAGCGGAAAAUUACAGCUAAACACAAACACCAGAAAAGUGUAUAAAGAGGCCUGGUCGCAAAUGUACAACAUCGCAAAAACAGUCCAGUCCUUAAGGGGUUAUAGGAGGGGGACUCUGAGUUGGAAUUUGUGGCCUUUUCCUACAUUUUCCUGUAUCACAAUGUUAAAAAUGGUUGUCUGGUCAUGGUCUACAUAUAUUUAUUGUGGAUUUUCUUUUGUGUUGAGGACAUUCUCUGAUGAUCUCUAUACGUUUUUGCUUUUAGGAAUUGGUUUUCCAACCUCCUACCUAAUACUGUUAGCACACUAGACAGGAAUAAUUUUUCCUUAUUUGUUUUCUUUUUAAAUAUUUGUGUGCAAAAAAAACUUUCCUUGUUACAAAUUUUGCCUGGGGAGUCACACUUUUUUUAUGGGCACAUUAGACUUUUCCCAAUGGUCAUCAAGAAGUAUACUCCUUAGUGGAUGAACACCAUUUUUAUAAAGCCACUAGUGUUUCUUUGAGAUUGUAUUCUAAUUCCAGCCUCACACUGGGGCUUGUCCAAUUGGCCCCUCCCACUUUUUACUUGCUCCUUGCCUUCUGGUAGCUUGUUAUUAAACAGUUCUGUGGUGUAGGUGUAGACUAGGUCAGUCUGAGAUGCAGUGGCGGAUCCAGAGCCUGAUCUCGGGAGGGGCACUUGUAGAUUAUUUAAAGAAAUAAUCCAGACACAAUAACCACUACAGCUCAGUGUAGUGGUUAUGGUGUCAAUAGUGCCGGGACCCCCUCCCACAGUAAGUAGUCAAACCGUUUAAGAACAGUUUGACAACUUACCUGAGAUCUGCUGGGAAUGGGGCUGUAGUAGGGCAUAGGAGCAGUGGUGUGUGUGAGUGGUGCAAUGUGUAAGGGGUGCAGUGUGUGAGUGAGGGUGGCAGUGUAUGUCAGGGAUGCAGUGUAUGUGUGGGACAGUAUGUGUGUGUAACAGUUGCAGUGUGUGUGUAUGGGGGGCAGUAUGUGUGUAUGGGGGGCAGUAUGUGUGUAUGUGGGAGCAGUGUGUGUAUGUGGGAGCAGUGUGUGUAUGUGGGGGCAGUGCGUGUGUAUGAGGGGCAGCUUGUGUGUAUGAGGGGCAG